UGGGGAAUUUUGGACAAUGGACGCAAGUCUGAUCCAGCCAUGCCGCGUGCGGGAAGAAGGCCUUCGGGUUGUAAACCGCUUUUGUCAGGGAAGAAACGAGUUUCUCUAAUACAGAGACUUAAUGACGGUACCUGAAGAAUAAGCACCGGCUAACUACGUGCCAGCAGCCGCGGUAAUACGAAGGGGGCUAGCGUUGUUCGGAAUUACUGGGCGUAAAGCGCACGUAGGCGGAUUUUUAAGUCAGGGGUGAAAUCCCGAGGCUCAACCUCGGAACUGCCUUUGUGACUGCAUAGCUAGAGUGCGGCAGAGGGGGAUGGAAUUCCGCGUGUAGCAGUGAAAUGCGUAGAUAUGCGGAGGAACACCGAUGGCGAAGGCAAUCCCCUGGGCCUGUACUGACGCUCAUGCACGAAAGCGUGGGGAGCAAACA
rnacentral:rRNA from 1 species